GAUGAACGCUAGCGGCAGGCCUAACACACGCAAGUCGAGGGAUAAGCCCUUCGGGGUGGAAACCGACGCGCGGGUGCGUAACGCGUAUGCAACCUACCUUUCACAGGGGGAUAGCCCGAAGAAAUUUGGAUUAAUACCCCAUAAUAUUGUUGGAUGGCAUCAUCUGAUAAUUAAAGUUACGAUGGUGAAAGAUGGGCUGCGUCCUAUUAGCUAGUUGGAGUGGUAACGGCACCCCAAGGCUACGAUAGGUAGGGGUCCUGAGAGGGAGAUCCCCCACACUGGUACUGAGACAGGGACCAGACUCCUACGGGAGGCAGCAGUGAGGAAUAUUGGUCAAUGGUCGAAAGACUGAACCAGCCAUGCCGCGUGCAGGACAGACGGCCCUAGAGGUUGUAAACUGCUUUUAUAUGGGAAGAAUAAGGAGUACGCGUACUUUGAUGACGGACCAUAUGAAUAAAGCCU
rnacentral:rRNA from 1 species